ACACCAUCCAUGCUGCUGAAAAGACACAGUUCUGCAUCUCCCUUAUGAUAGAAUUGCGGGUGUUUCUGUACCACCUCCACCUGGAAGAAAUACUUACCUAGUGGAUCCCUCGGUUCGCCUCCGUCCAGCAGUCCUGACAUCACGGGCGUCGGGUCACAUGUGCGCGUCAGCGUGCAUCCAGGCGCAGGCUCAUUGCGGCGCAGAUCGUGACGACGCUGGCUCCUCAUCGCAGGCGUUCUGAUGCUGCAGAAUUGGCGCCAAGAUUAAAGACCAACGUAUUGAGCUGCAAACAAGAGAAAGACAAGGGAACAAGGAGCAGCAACUGGAGCCUGAGGACCAUUUAAGUAAAGCACAAGAGGACGAGGAUCAGAAUAAUCAGAAACAGCGGCUUCAGCACCAGCGACACCUGGAAACUGUCAGAAUAACACAGGGGUUACAUGUGCAGCCCCCCAGUACUAUACAAAGACCACGAGCACACUCAGGCCCUUCGUAGGAUUACGCUGGUCCCCAAGACCUGAGGGAGACGGCACUCCCAA